rnacentral:rRNA from 1 species
AUAUCAGAGGAAUCAAUUUUUUGUAAAUAAAAAAAAUAUGUACAAGGUUUCCGUAGGUGAACCUGCGGAAGGAUCAUU